rnacentral:lncRNA from 1 species
UUUUUUAAUUAUCUCUGGAAAGUAUGGACUGUGUAUCAUCAUUAACUGGACUAAACACUGACGGUCAGUGAGUCAGGUACCAGUAAACGGUGCAAUUAACAGCCAGAGGAGAGAAGUGUAUUCAAUCUGAAAGCUUUCUUUCUCAAUCCAUCUCCACUCAUCACCCAAAGUGCUGAGCAGCAGACUUUUACUUUCAAUUACAUUAAUCAGGUUAAUUCCAAGUUAAAGUCAACAUUUUAAUCAAGAGGCAGGGAAGUAGAGGGCUGAGGGGAAGAAAGGAAGGAAAAGAAGGGCAAGAGGAAGGAGGAGGAAAGGAAAGGUAUAGGGAAAGAAAGCCGGACAUUAAAGUGAUAGACACCACUGAAAAAAUAAAAUGAGAUAAAUAAAGAAUAAGCUUUUAUGCUGGACAUCUAAAAUAAAGGGGUUAGCAUUUACUCCUAUGUAACUUUGGUAUGCUGGGCUGUUGCAGGGGGAAACUGGAAUAUAUCAGAGCAGCUUCAGGGAUGCUGUAUUUUAUGGAAAGAACUGUCUGUAGAAAUAUCUCUUCAAAAGACUCUGCAAUGACUCGAGUCACAGACCCAUCACACCAUGACUUCUGCUUGCCCUGUAAAGCUUAAAAACAUUGCAUGCCUAGAAAAACUACCAAGUGCUCCAUCACACUGAACAGGAGUUCCACCUGCACCCACAGCUGAAUCUAUUGCAGUAGCACUCUGGGGGAUCCAGUAUCGCAGAGAUCAGAUACUAAUGACUACAGAAAUAUGGCAUUAAGUCUUUCAAAGAAGCCUGCUCUGAUGAGCCCAUUUUAUGUCCCUGCCAGAGAUUUGUUUAACUAUGGGAAUAGUUAGAGAUUCCCAGCUUCCACUGGAUUUCAAAAGGACUUGGGUGCCUCAUUUCAUUGAACUCCUUUAAUGAUCACAUUUACAGAUGAUCCAGAUUUUCAAAAGAAACCACAUAAAGGAUGCUGAAAGGUUCAUCUUGGCUCAAGGUCCUUAUUCUUGCCAAGUGAAACACAAUGUGUGUGGGGUAAGAAGCAGAGAUUUAAGAGUUUUGGUUUUGACCCAUCACACCCUUUCCUUCAGAGUUGCAUUAAUUUACAGAGAAAGUUCAAGGUACAGCUCCUGUUCUACAGGGCCCUACUGAAUCCUGAGUCCUGAGGAGCAGUCUCACUGGCUGUGUGUUUCAUGACUAUCUCCUGUACAGUGAACCUGCAAGUGCUUAGACUGAAUCACUCAUUUUGGGCCUGAGCAAAGUCUGUUAAUCCUUGGCUCACAGCACAAUGCCAGUUUCUUCUCUUGCAGUCUUGAACAAAAAUCAGAGGGAGAUUCAGUACAUGGGAAAACAAAAGCUGGAGGAAAGCAAACUUUCUGUAGGAAGGAAGCAUAUGAUAGAACAGAUUGACUACCAGGAACACUUACUCACCUCCUGACUCUAGUACAAACCUCAUCCAUAACCUUGGGUGAAUUGUUUCUCCCAGAUACAUUAACCAUGCAAUGGAGACAGCAGUGUCACUGCUGUUACUGCUGCCUUUCCAAAGCACUUUGACAGAAAAGCUGUAAUUUAGCAUUAUUAUUGUUAUUAUAUUUUAUUAUUAAAGAUAAUUUUAAAUUAAAAUCCUCUCAGGACAAUGUCACACCUUUGAGCCAGCUAAAUAAUAUCUUUGACAUCUCUAAAAAAAUCAGAAUAACCAUACAUUAAGAAUUCAGAGCAACAAAACAGUGCAAAGGGAUUGAGAAGCACACAAGGGAAAGAUAUACAUAAAGCAAGUAAAAGCUUACAAUGUGAAGAUGCCUGUAUGUGUUACCUACUAAAAUUCAAGCUCAGGGGUCUUUAAAACAGCAGCAGGCAUUGUGGUUCUGUUCCCAUGCUUAUGAGGUUUGACAGCAUAAUAAGAACCACAUGCCCCAACUGAGCAGAAUGGUACCUGCUUUUGGAAGGGAGCAAGAGACAAUGAAAAUGUUCCCAAAAGCCAUCAGGAGCAGAGCUCCAGGACUUUCUCCCCAGCAGGAACUCAGUUCCAGCACUUGUGAAUUUACAUUUUAAAAAGUUACCCACAGUUUCACUUGAAUAAGGAAACGAAUCAUGCAAAAAUAGAAAGACUGGAGUAAAUAAAAGAAGAGAAAGCAGUUAAUUAGUGGGUCUGAUCAAGAAUGCCCUGACGUGCUCAUUCUUCCCCCAGCCUUCCCCACUCGCACUCUGCUCAGAGCCGCAGUGCAGCACAGAGGCCCCUGUGCUGCCUGCUCCCCUCAGCUCACCAGCUCAGCUCUGCAGCACAGCUGGAGCUGAAACAGCCCCCUGUGACACCUUAACCAGCUCUCCCCAACACCAGUCUCCCUAGAAACAUCUCAUUCUUUUCUCUCGCUAUCACAGCCAGAAAGCAAACAGGUUUCAGCAGUGACAGGAAAAUACCUCUUUCCUUAGGAGUAGGAAGAAAGGUAGGAAUGUGAUGAUUUAGUGUGUUAAUUUGGAAUCCCAACAGAUUGUGUGCUGAUAAGGAAAGAUGCUGCCAGAUUAGUGAAAACAGCAAAUACCCUUUGCCUAGAGGCAGCCUCCUGAAUCUGAGAACCAGUGCUGAAGUCAGCCAGGGCCACCAGAAGAGUGAAUUUUGUCACAUGAGGGCUAUAGCUGUAGGGACACAAUUCUGCUCCUGAAUACACUACUGAAGUGUUUAUAACCAUGGCUCCAUCAGUCUGCCACACCUGGGACCCUUCCUAGGCUGCACACCUCUCAUGGAGCAACUCUGCAAAGAAGGACUUAAACCCUGUAAAUAGAUGGUUGGCAGAACCAAACCUGAAGAUGCAAUAAUAACAGCAAAAAUGGAGUUACAGCCAUAAUUUGUUUCACUUGGAUUCGCUAGGAAAGUACAAAGCUCAGUGAAGUUUUUCUGUUGUGAUUGCAAAACUGGUAUGUCAUCCUGGUGUUUCUACAUCAUUAAAAUCUCUGCAUGUACAUAUGGCUUUACCACAUGCCUGCAGAUAGCCCAGUUCUUGACAGGCUGAUUCUACAGACCAUUGAAAUGCUACUAAUAAUAGGGCACCUUCCUUUAUAAAAAAUAACCCAUUAUACACCUCCAUCUGGCAGGGCAAUCCAUCACAUUCUAAGUUGCAGGUAAGGAAAUCAAAAGAUAGAACAGGAAAGAGUGAUUUUCAUAAAAAGACUCAACUCUUAUGAUCUCUUCUUUCUAUUCAGCAGUCCUAUUCCUCAGGAUCCUCAAAACAAGGUUAGGCUGCUGUGUUCACUAACCUAAUUCACUGCCAACUGUGUUGAAUUUCAAGUUCCACACUAUGGCCUUCCUGGGGCUCAAAUCGUCAUCUUUGGCCCAGCACAUACACCUGGUGACUUAUACACCUAUCUUACUGUGUGCUUUGAAAUUGGAACUACAUUGCCAUGAUGCCUGCUGAUUCCUCUCAUCCUGAGGCUCUGGGAAGUGAUGUGGAGUGGAAAGCAGAAUUAGUGGUCCUGAACCCAUUGGCAGAGCUCCUUCAAUGUAGUCCAAGGAUAAACUAUAAAUCAUAGCUCCCAGGGAUGGAAAAUGUCUGGGAGGUCACAUUCUCCUCUGAACACACUGCACCUGCUGAAGGCUUAAGGGUCCUCAAAAUGCUUCUCUCAGUAGUGAGUAGACCUCAGUAGUGUGGGAAGUUCUAGGGAGAAAAAAGGAGCUUCCUGUUCCAUUCCCUUUUCUUUGCCAAGAGGCUCUUGUUGAAGGAUGGAAUAUUGAUUCUUCCCCCUCCAGCCUCUCCAGCAGUACAAGGCCUUGGCCGGAUGGAGUCAGACUCAAUCAUAAUUGCAUUUGCAUAAUACAUUUUACCUUUCUCUCCUCCGCUGUAGUUUUCUGAACUUGCCAAGUUGCAAGCUGACCCUGUGAGCCAAGGUGUGAUUAACUGAGAAAUUCACAGCAGCGCCACUUUAAUCAAAGGGGACAGAGGUUACAACAGCUCAAUAUUAGCGAUAACCAGCCUUUGAUCCACAGAGCUAGGCCAAGCCUGGCAGGCAAGCUGUGAGGAAAUGCACCGUCAGGGCUUUUGUGGGGAAAUAAUACCUUAUUAACCCCUUCAUUUAACCUGCUGUGGGUGAGCAGAGAGAAUUACCAGAAAAAAAACUCUAUUCCAGAGUCUUAAUUACAGCCCACAAAGCUGCUGCUUCUUAAAACUAUACUUAAAGGUGUUAAAUUCCUGAAAAGAACCACCUCCAUCUCACAAGACUGAUUUGUGAGGGCAAUGACAGCUUCUAAAUGCUCCUGCUUCUACUGUAGACUGACCACCAAUGUCAAGCCCAGCAAUGGGCUGACAGAGAUACAGCCCAGGCUAUCAGAUUUCAGCAAUUCCCUACAGGUCUGUACACACAGGCAGCGUUUGCAAGUCCACUCCCCACUGCUGCAAAGCCCUGUCCGAGUCAUUCAACUCUCCCUUUCCCUGGCUUCUGCUCUUUACCCUGAGAAAGCACCAGUUCUUAACAUGGAGUUCCAGUAGGAUCUAACAUAAUGUAGCUAAUCAGAUCAAAAUUUAAUGUGGAUUUCAACAAAUAAUUAGAGAUCAUUCUCAUAAUCAGGUUGCACCGAAGAUAAUACAAAGUCUAAACAAUGGGAGAAGUACUAUUCAAUAAGAAAUGUGUUAAAUUCAAUAUGCAAUCCUGAAACGGAAAACAGAUGCAGAAUCCCAGGGGAUCAGAAAGUCCCAGUUUUGGUAACUAUAGGGAAAUUGAAAAUUCUCAUUUCUAAAAAACUUCCAAUUUUGAAAUUUGUUUAGCAUGGGACUGGAAAGAAUCCACACAGAAUGAAAUCUAUAAUAGAAUACAUCUCCUGUCAAAAACAAAUUUAGGUCAAUCAAAAUGUUUUAUUUCAAUAAAAUAAAAUCUAAAAAAAACCCAUGUGAUUUAAAACCCCCAUGAAUAUUACAGGAUCAAACAUAUUUUUGAAAAGAAAAAGUAAUUUCAAAGUGAAAAACACCUUUUGCUUUUGAAGAAGUGAAAUGGAAGGUGACAACUCUAUUAACAGGCUUCUGUCAAAAACUUUUGUGAAACAAGAUAUCAGUGAAACUGACAUUUCAGAGAUAAGUUUCUCUUUUCAGUUAAACAUUCUUCUCUGGUAGGAAACACUCUUUUAAAACCAAUCCAUUCCCUUAAUUAUCUUUUUUUUGAGAGUACAUAGAAAAAGGAAAUGCCAUCUCCCUGAAUGCUUUUUAUUUACCCACUCUUACCAUCUUCCUUUAAAUGAAGAUUUGGCCAGAGAACCAGGAAGAAGCCUCACCUCUGCUACACAGACCAAAAGGAAACAAAGUUUUCCAAUCAAGACUUGGACCUAACGUUCUUUAAGUGAGAGAAGUGCUCUCCUUAAAUGGGGCCAGCAAGGGUGAAGAAAUUACCCCAUAUACUCCCAAAGCAAUGCAUUGUGGAAUCCAAGUACUCUGCCACUGAAAAUCAGACUUUCCAGUACAGUCAUGUUACAAUUUUGG